GUAGUGUUGCCAUUUCCUUGGUGAAUGAAGAUUUCCAUUUUUCAAGAACCAAUCACACCUCUAGACUUUAAUUCCUUUUGUGGAAACGAAAAUUUUGGCCAUCUUCCUUGAUUUUUUUUAUAUAACCAUGAAACCAAACUUUUUGACACACUCACGAAACACAACCUCACCCCUUGUCGUGCUCAGUCACCGGAGCCAUCGGAAAAACCUCCUAGUAUCACCGGACAUCGAAACUCGUUGGAGAACACGUAUCGUUGCCAGAGCUCAAACCGGGAAAACCUGACGACGCCGUUGCAACAUUAACAGUGAGUACGUCGGAGGUUUUGUAGUAACAACAUCCCACAACCACGACCACCACCUUUCACACAUACCCAUCGUGCACCCGUACCGUACCGCCGGAGACGUAGAAGCCUUGCCGGAGAGAACCGACGCCACCAAAGGUUUCAACAACUCACCGGAGAUAUACGGUCACCGCCGGUUAAACGGAGUCGUACAGAGAUCGCCGGAGAACCUUGCGAGACCGCAUCCGCUGUGUUUCGGAUAACCCACAUUGUUCCAAGUUCCCAAAUCCUUAUUCGUUUACUCGUGUGUUAUCUUCAAGGAAUUCUUAUACGCAACCAAUGUUGUUAGACAUGAUGAUGAAGAAAUCAAGUUAGGAUGGACUUAGAUACUCAUUCAAUAAUAAACAAUGUUGUUGCAAUUUGUCUUAUUUGAAACCAUGUAUUCAAAUUUUAGUCAUUUACGAAAUUGGAUUUAAAUUAUAUUGUCACAUAGUGUUAUGAUGUCUCU